AUUGAACGCUGGCGGCAGGCCUAACACAUGCAAGUCGAACGGUAACAGGAAGCAGCUUGCUGCUUCGCUGACGAGUGGCGGACGGGUGAGUAAUGUCUGGGAAACUGCCUGAUGGAGGGGGAUAACUACUGGAAACGGUAGCUAAUACCGCAUAACGUCGCAAGACCAAAGAGGGGGACCUUAGGGCCUCUUGCCAUCGGAUGUGCCCAGAUGGGAUUAGCUAGUAGGUGGGGUAACGGCUCACCUAGGCGACGAUCCCUAGCUGGUCUGAGAGGAUGACCAGCCACACUGGAACUGAGACACUGUCCAGACUCCUACGGGAGGCAGCAGUGGGGAAUAUUGCACAAUGGGCGCAAGCCUGAUGCAGCCAUGCCGCGUGUAUGAAGAAGGCCUUCGGGUUGUAAAGUACUUUCAGCGGGGAGGAAGGGAGUAAAGUUAAUACCUUUGCUCAUUGACGUUACCCGCAGAAGAAGCGCCGGCUAACUCCGUG
rnacentral:rRNA from 1 species